rnacentral:rRNA from 1 species
GACGAACGCUGGCGGCGUGCUUAACACAUGCAAGUCGAACGGAAAGGCCCUGCUUUUGUGGGGUGCUCGAGUGGCGAACGGGUGAGUAACACGUGAGUAACCUGCCCUUGACUUUGGGAUAACUUCAGGAAACUGGGGCUAAUACCGGAUAGGAGCUCCUGCUGCAUGGUGGGGGUUGGAAAGUUUCGGCGGUUGGGGAUGGACUCGCGGCUUAUCAGCUUGUUGGUGGGGUAGUGGCUUACCAAGGCUGUGACGGGUAGCCGGCCUGAGAGGGUGACCGGCCACAUUGGGACUGAGAUACGGCCCAGUCUCCUACUGGAGGCAGCAGUGGGGAAUAUUGCACAAUGGGCGGAAGCCUGAUGCAGCAACGCCGCGUGCGGGAUGACGGCCUUCGGGUUGUAAACCGCUUUCGCCUGUGACGAAGCGUGAGUGACGGUAAUGGGUAAAGAAGCACCGGCUAACUACGUG